rnacentral:tRNA from 1 species
GCGAAAGUUUAGCUAGUAGAGCAUCUGCCUGGUAUGCGGAGGGGUGCCGGUUCGAUUCCGGCUCGCA